rnacentral:rRNA from 1 species
GGCUAACGCUGGCGGCGUGGAUUAGGCAUGCAAGUCGGACGGUAGGGCUUUAUCGUAAGAUAGAGUUUGAGAGUGGCGAACGGGUGAGUAACACGUAGGAAUCUACCCUUAAGACGGGGACAACCCAGGGAAACUUGGGCUAAUACCGGAUGAGAGUGCGAGAGAUUGCAUUUAAAAGGAUGGCGAAAGUUGUCGCUUAGGGAUGAGCCUGCGGUCUAUUAGUUAGUUGGUGAGGUAAGAGCUCACCAAGGCGAUGAUAGAUAGGCGGCCUUAACGGGUGGUCGCCCACACUGGGAUUGAGAUACGGCCCAGACUCCUACGGGAGGCAGCAGUCGAGAAUAGUCUACAAUGGCCGGAAGGCUGAUAGUGCGACGCCGCGUGAGGGAAGAAGGCCUUCGGGUUGUAAACCUCUGUCAUGGGGAAGAAGGAAGUGACGGUACCCCAAGAGGAAGCCCCGUAACUACGUG